rnacentral:rRNA from 1 species
ACAUACGACCAUAGGACCUUGAGAAUUGGGCUUCCCGUCCGCUCAGCCUUACACAAGCAGGGUACCGGCGGAUUAGUACUCGGGUUCGUGAGAACCGUGGAAUCCCCGCUGUUGUAUGUU